AUUCAAUUUGGAAUGCGAUUUUGUUAAUAAAAAAAAUACUUAUAACUUAUGCAAAACCCAAUAGAGGCAUUUAUAUUUAUUUCUUUUGCGUUCAUUUUCAAAUUCGCCGUGCAUAUAUUUUUGUGCAUGGCGCUUGAGAGGGCAUCACGUGACUAAAAACGACCAACCAACGACCUCGCUUCGGCCAUCUUGGCAUCUUCAUCUUGGCGACCUUGCCUUGCCGUGGAUUGUUUUUAGUUGUUUGUAUUAUUUGUGCUUUUUAAGAAUAUUUUUUUAAUUCGGAUACUUUUAUAAUAGCUUUAAUAGUAUUAUUAACAUAGUGCAUAAAAUGGUGUCCUGUUUUUAACGCAGUUGGAGUAGCAGAAACAAAUGUAGAUAAAAAAAUCUGCAGGAAUAACGUUUCAAUUAUGACAGAAGCUCAAAACAAAUGACUGUGAAUGAAAAGCCCUAUUAAAAGCUUUCCAGAAGAUCCUGCGAAGAAGACAUGAAGUAUAGAUCAGAUUUGUUAAUAGAGGAGUAUGUUCAAAACACUUUUUAGAAAAAGAUAUUGACAGAACUUCACUUUCAUCUGUUCGUUUGAGAGACUGUGCUGUUCCAAUAGCUUAUGUCACACAGAAUCAGCUGAGAGAAGUGGUCUACAAAAAACCAGAAAGGAAACGGAAUAUGUGGCUACGAAAAGCAAAAGAAAGGUUUACAAAGCAAAUGUGACACAUUUUUUUAUAAUAUUUAGGAAUGUCAGCAAAUUACAUUAAAAAAUGUAUGUAAAGAUUUUUUGCAAUAAAAAUG